rnacentral:tRNA from 2 species
GGCCAGGUAGCUCAGUCGGUACGAGCGUCCGCCUGAAAAGCGGAAGGUCGCCGGUUCGAUCCCGGCCCUGGCCAC